AUGGGGAUCGGCGAGCACUUUGAGGGCGUGAAGCAGCACUGGGCGCGCAACUUCGCCUUCCUCGACUACUUCAAGAAGGUCUACGGCCGCGACCAGCCCCUCCCCAAGUGGUCCGACGCCGACGUCGAAGAGUUCAUCGCCUCCGACCCCGUCUACGGCCCGCAGCUCAAGGCCCUGAGGGAGUCCAGGAAGUUCGCGCUCGGCGGGGCCCUGGCCGGCGCCGCGCACCUCGGCGGCGUUGCCUUCAAGUACUCCAAGAGCCCGCACGGUGUCGUGCUGGCGACCGGGUUCGGAGCGCUCACUGGCGCCGUGCUCGGGUCGGAGGUGGCCGAGCACUGGUACGAGCUCUACAAGAUGGACAAGCAGGGGGCCAACCUCAGGUUCAUCUACUGGUGGGAGGACAAGGUCUCAGGCCAGAAGAACUGA
rnacentral:rRNA from 1 species